UGAAUAUGAUUGUUCCUGGGACUUGAAGG
rnacentral:piRNA from 1 species